ensembl:lncRNA
GGGGGGGGGAGAGAGAGAGAGAGAGAGAGAGAGAGAGAGAGAGAGAGAGAGAGAGAGAGAGAGAGAAAGCAAAAAAAGAGGAAGGUGCUUAGAAGAGGCAGGGAUGCCCGGUGAAAAGCAGAGAGUCGGGGAUCCGGCUUAACCCAGGCAUUUGGGAAGGGGGGCUGGAGGUGGAACACGACUCAACGGACCGCAGCCGCUCUGGCUAGGGCGGUAGAGCGCCAGGGUGAGAGGGUGAGGAUGCCCUGCGGGCUUCCGCACUACUCUGACACCAAACAGAAUGGCUAGGCUCCGGUGGUGAAGUAAAAGUUCCCGGUGGCGUGAAGGCGGUGGAUAGCCACCUUGCCCGUGCACGGAGGCUGUCUGGGGAAGCGGCCUCGAGGGCUGGAUGGACUGGGUGGAAGCCCUCGCAGGGGGUCCUACGGCUCUAGCUUUUGUACCGCCCCGCCUAGGCCAGUCCGGAGCUGACGCACCAGCUCCCCAGAGACGCUGGGGGCGUCGCACUGCAGCUGGGUGGGGAGCAAUUUAUUCCUGGCGGUCACAUCCCACCCCAUCUUCUGUUACUCCACCCUACCCUCCCAUCCCUCCACCUCUUCCUCCUCCUUUUCUACCAACGCCCGCACUAUCUUCUGGUUCUUCUCCUCCUCACCCUCCACUCCCCCUCUCUCCCUUCUUUUCUUUUCUCCCUUCCCCUCCCCCUCUUCUGAAUAACCAAGCUGUUUUGCCUCCGAAAGGGGAGAGAGAGAGAGAGAGAGAGAGAGAGAGAGAGAGAGAGAGAGAGAGAGAGAGAGAGAGAGAGAGGGGCCUGCGGUGACUGGAAGACAGGAGGGAAUCUGGAUCUGGUACAUCUGGGAAGUGGAAACUUGAUGCUUCUGGGCGGUGAUUUGCCAAGGCCUCGCCAAAGGAAGGCUUUCAUUUUUCAAGAAGAAACUUUAAUACACAGCAAGAUAUAAGGCUCAUUGAGAAGGAAUGACAUAAGAAUAGGACUCUGUCGUAGUCAGCAUCAGCAGCGUUACUUUAGUCCUGGACACACAAGCAUAUGCAUAUGUCACCGAACAUGCUCCUAUCCACUUUUGAGAAAAUUAGAACAAAAACCGCAUUUAUAAAAAUGAGCUAGUCUUCUUGAACGUUUGAGAGACAUUUUUAAAUAAAAAAGAACAUAGAAAAAUUUUAAUCUUCUGCUUUUAGGGAAACUAAGAGCUUCCUGUUUUAUUUAAAGAAAAAUGAAAUUGGGAAACUUUUGCAAUUGUUCAAAAUGAAGACCAUAACUUGACUAUACCAAGGCUUCUCCCCCACGUGUGUUAGAUGUGUUAGACCCUUGUUCCAUUCAGUACUCUACAGACAAGAGCAUUUGAUAGGAAGUCUCGACCUUUGAUUAACAGGUGCAUUUAUUGUAUUAAAAACUGGGAUUUGUUAAUAAGUGAUAUUUUAAAUUGAAACCUCAAAGAAUUCAGCUAGUUCAAAUGCUCCAGUGUUCUACAAGGAAGGCAUCUGCCCUACUAUUUGAACUGGUUAGUAUCUGGACCAUAGUAGGGUUUCAGAGGCCCCUGCCUCCUCAGAACCUGGUACAAGAAAAGGAAACACAGAGUGGGAGGGGAUGCUGGGUCCCCUCCCUCCUCUACUCACUGCCAGGACCACCUGCACCCACCACAUCUUCUAAAGGAAAUGGCCAUUUGGUUUUAUGGGGAAAACCCAUAAGACAAAGUCUAGCACACACACAUUGCAGUCAGACGUAUAUUACACAAAGUGCAUAUUCUUUAACGUAUCUACUUUGCUAUACACGCUGUGUGUGUGUGUGUGUGUGUGUGUGUGUGUGUGUGUGUGUGUGUAGAUCUCAAAACAUCACCCUCUCUCUAAGUUUCCCCUAAUUUGGGGAGUUAAUAAUAUCAUAGUUCUUAAUGAAAGAAAGGCUGUCAAUUUCUGGGUGAAGUGAGGUACAAUAAAGGUGCACAUGCCAUCCAGAAGGACUUAAGCAAUUGGCAGGCCUGCGGUGCCAGGCAUCUGCAAAGAUACAGUCUUCAUUUGUCGCUGGAAAGAUAUGAGGGUGAAGGGGACUGUAAUAUAAACCCAAGCAAACUAGGAUUUCGACAUUCACCUGGGUCUCCCUUAGGCUGUGGUCAACAGCAUUUGCAGGUCCCUAGGCUUCCAGAAGAAAGGAUUUUCGACUAGAGGUUUUGUGUGUUGCCUGUGCAAUCAGGUCCCUUCUGUAGGCCCCCUAGGGCCAUCUUGAAGCUAUAUAGCUUUUCCUUUCUUUGUACAGUAAUGGCUAUAGAAGUCCCGAGAGUCUUGAACAUAAAGCUCUUGAAGCCCCCUAUGUCCAGAGAAUUCUGGUUCUCCCAGGCCAGGGCCGCUCCGACGACCCCAAGCGUGGUGCUCAAGAGGCCAGUAGGUGUCGCUGUUUCCCUGCUGGCAGGAGCCUGGAGCCCG